AAAUAAAUCAGAACAAAAGAAAAAAUUUAAGAACCCCCUUAUAUAUUAUAUUCAUUUGUGAUCUAAGAGACGAUACGUGUCGGCAUUGUAUUGGUCUAACAAAAAAAAUAUUUCUUUCGUUCUCUCUCUCUUUCUCUCGCGAUUGCGAGAAAAUGAAGAUUUGUAUUUGGAAUCGAAGGGUGUGGAGGAAGAGGAGAUUGCGGUCGGAGGAGAUGCUCAUCAUCGUGAAUUGAUGACUCGGCCGUGUUCCAUCGUGAUAGAUUGAAUCGUGAAUCGGCUCCGAGAGGUUGUAGGAGAGGCGAUUUGGAAUCGUGAAUCGUGAAUUGGGAGUCCACUCAAUCGGAAGAGAUUGAAUCAAUUGGAAGCAGAGGGUAGUGUUUUUAGAUGCUUUGAGAAUAGAUGCUUGAACUUAGAAGUUGCAUAUGGUACACUUUCUCGCUGAAUCGGGAAUGAUGCAUAGGAAUAUGAGAAGAAAGGUUUUACUUCUUUGGCUUCUCCUCCUACUCGGCGUGUCAACAUCUUUUCCCCAGGCUAGUUAGUUUGUAACUUGCAGGUGAAGUUCACAGUUGAAGAGCAACGGAAAAUUAUGGAUCGUAAACACAACAUCCGUAACAUGUCUGUCAUUGCCCAUGUCGAUCAUGACUGAUCUUGUUGGUGAGCCAGAACUAGCUUCAUUGAUGCAGCUGAUAAAUGAAUAACGAUAUGGGACUGCUAUCACUCCCGUUGUUAUAUGGAGCAAAGAUAAACGAUAUAAUCAUUGCUGGAGAAUGGGAGACUGGUCACUCCCAUUCUUUACUGUUUUAAAGAAUGGUGGAGAAGUGUCACUCCACCAUUCUCCAAUGGUGGAGAAGUGUCACUCCCAUUCUUUACUGUUUUAAAAAGACACUCAACCAAAACACAGCUUGUUUAAAAAGAGAACCUAAAAAUUUGGCAUAAAUCAAUAUUACAUUAAUCAUUUUCCCCAUUUAUGAAUUACACUUCUAUUGUAAUAUGUAUUAAUGUU